rnacentral:lncRNA from 1 species
UAGGGAAUUAUUUAUGUGUGAUAAAUCAUAAAAUCAAAUCAAAUCAAUUCACAAAACAAAAAUGGACAUGCCUUCGAUGUUUGUUGAAAAAAUAAAAAAGGUAAGGAUAUGUGCACGUGUGGGAGACAAAAAUCUUGCACAAUCUAGCGAUUCUAAGCUGGGCGAGUCUUUAAACACGGACGGCCGGCGGCCCAGUACCCCUCAUGUGCAUAUGUCUCUCUUUUGAUCUUUGUUUUUCUUCGCAACCAUUCCAAACCAAAAGACAAAUAUUGUAUGUUUUCUUCCUCCACAGCUUCUCCACGUCAACUCCCCUUUCCUGUUAUCCAAACAAGGGAGCUGCCUCGAAAAUGCGCCGGUGUGAGCCGCAUGUCUUCUCCAUAUCCAAUCAUUUCGUACUAAAUCAGCACAUAAAAUUAUAAAAUUUUUGUCGACACCAUCAUUUUGUUAUCUCAAUUUCAUGUCCUGGAUCAAUUAAACUUAAGUUUUAUUUUUCUCCAAGCUCAUAGCCGAAAAGUGAGUAGAAUACAAAGCAUACAAACAUGGGUGAAUAGAAUCUUGCUGUGUAAAUCAUCAACUUCCAUCAUUCAGCAUCGGAAACGUACGUCGGCCGUGAAAUGUUGUCCGGUCAAGUCACGCAUCUUCAAUUUAAAAUACUAAAAUGAGAAAUGAGGAGUGAAGUCCUGGAAUUCCUUUUGCCCAAACAACCUUUUUUUAAUGAGGAAAAAUGGGUUCUAUAAUGGGCAUGAAAAUGGAAAGAGUGCCCCGGCUAGUUACCAGACAAUUAGAAAUU